UUUCAAAUUUAAAUUUAUCUUAAAUUUAAAAUUUAAAAUUAAAAAAUUAAAAAUAUAUAUUUAAAAAUUUAAAUUCAAAUAUAAUAAGAGGAUAAUAUGAUUAUUUUUUAUUUAUAAANUUAAAAUUUUAAAUUUAAAAAUAUAUAUUUAAAAAUUUAAAAAUUUAAAUUCAAAUAUAAUAAAAGGAUAAUAUGAUUAUUUUUAUUUAUAAAAUUCACUAUCUUUCUUAUUCCAUCUUGCCUAAUCAAAUGCUAUUUUUUUAUUCCCAGAAAUAACCCAAUUUUUAUCCAAACGUAAAAUUAAUCUAAUCCCCGCUUAUAUCUUAAUUUAUACCUAUUCCUGGAAUAACCACUUUUUGCUUAUCCUCGAACCAAACGAUUCCUAGAGUGCGUUUAGUUGGGCUAUCCUCCCUUAU
rnacentral:lncRNA from 1 species